rnacentral:rRNA from 1 species
GACGAACGCUGGCGGCGUGCUUAACACAUGCAAGUCGAACGGAAAGGCCCCUUUGGGGGUCCUCGAGUGGCGAACGGGUGAGUAACACGUGAGUAACCUGCCCUUGACUUCGGGAUAACUUCAGGAAACUGGGGCUAAUACCGGAUAGGAAUCCUUGCUGCAUGGUGGGGGUUGGAAAGCUUCGGCGGUUUUGGAUGGACUCGCGGCUUAUCAGCUUGCUGGUGGGGUAGUGGCUUACCAAGGCUUUGACGGGUAGCCGGCCUGAGAGGGCGACCGGCCACAUUGGGACUGAGAUACGGCCCAGACUCCUACGGGAGGCAGCAGUGGGGAAUAUUGCACAAUGGGCGGAAGCCUGAUGCAGCAACGCCGCGGGCGGGAUGACGGCCGUCGGGUUGUAAACCGCUUUCAGCAGGGGCGAAGCUUGUGGUGACGGUACCUUCAGAAGAAGCACCGGCUAACUACGUG